rnacentral:rRNA from 1 species
UACGUAGGGUGCGAGCGUUAAUCGGAAUUACUGGGCGUAAAGGGUGCGCAGGCGGUUAUAUAAGACAGAUGUGAAAUCCCCGGGCUCAACCUGGGAACUGCGUUUGUGACUGUAUGACUAGAGUACGGUAGAGAGGGGUGGAAUUCCUGGUGUAGCAGUGAAAUGCGUAGAUAUCAGGAGGAACAUCGAUGGCGAAGGCAGCCCCUUGGACCUGUACUGACGCUCAUGCACGAAAGCGUGGGGGAGCAAACAGG